GGGUUGGUGGUCUAUAAAGGAUGUUUCGUUGAAGCCGAAGAGGAGAGGACAAUUUCUUCCCGACUCA
rnacentral:tRNA from 1 species